GACGAACGCUGGCGGCGUGCCUAAUACAUGCAAGUCGAGCGGAUCUCUUCGGAGAUCAGCGGCGGACGGGUGAGUAACACGUGGGCAACCUGCCUAUAAGACUGGGAUAACUCCGGGAAACCGGGGCUAAUACCGGAUAAUCCUCUGGACCUCAUGGUCCGGAGCUGAAAGACGGUUCUGCUGUCACUUAUAGAUGGGCCCGCGGCGCAUUAGCUAGUUGGUGAGGUAACGGCUCACCAAGGCGACGAUGCGUAGCCGACCUGAGAGGGUGAUCGGCCACACUGGGACUGAGACACGGCCCAGACUCCUACGGGAGGCAGCAGUAGGGAAUCUUCCGCAAUGGACGAAAGUCUGACGGAGCAACGCCGCGUGAGUGAAGAAGGUUUUCGGAUCGUAAAACUCUGUUGUCAGGGAAGAACAAGUGCGAGAGUAACUGCUCGCACCUUGACGGUACCUGGCCAGAAAGCCACGGCUAACUACGUGCCAGCCGCCGCCGUAAUAC
rnacentral:rRNA from 1 species